rnacentral:rRNA from 1 species
AUUGAACGCUGGCGGCAGGCCUAACACAUGCAAGUCGAGCGAGCGGCGGACGGGUGAGUAAUGUAUGGGGACUGCCCGAUAGAGGGGGAUAACUACUGGAAACGGUAGCUAAUACCGCAUACUAUCGGAUAACCCAUAUGGGAUUAGCUAGUUGGUGAGGUAAUGGCUCACCAAGGCGACGAUCCCUAGCUGGUCUGAGAGGAUGAUCAGGCACAAGUGGAUUGAGACAAGGACCGAACUCCCACGGCGGCAGCGUUGGGGAAAUUGACGAAAUGGUCGAAAGCCUGAUGCAGCCCUGCCAGGGGUAUGCAGAAGGCCCUAAGAUUAUAAACUACGUUCAGGCGUGAGGCGUUACCGACAGCAGAAGCCCCGGCUAACUCCGUGCCAGCCGCCGCGGUAAUAC